UUAACUUUUAAUAUAAUUUUAUUAAUUACAAAAAUUAUUUAAUUUUAAAAUUAUUAAUAUUAAUAAUAAAAUUAUAUUAAAAGUUAAAGUUUAGCUUUAAAUUUAAUUAUAUUAUUUAAAUAUAAAUAUAAUAUUUUAUUUAAAUAAAAUAUUAAAUUAAUAUUUAAAAUUAAAAUAAAUUAAAGAAAUUUAAAAUUAGAUAUUAAUAAAUUAUUAGUUAAUAAUGUGCCAGCAACUGCGGUUAAACAUUUUAAUAAAAUUAAAUUUAUUUAAUUAAUAAUUAAAAUAAAUUUUUUAUAAAAAUAUUAAAUUUAAUAGAUUAAAUUAUAAAUUUUUAAUAAUUAAAUUAUUUUUAUUAAAAUUAAUUAAUUUUUAAUUAAACUAGGAUUAGAGACCCUAUUAUUUUAAACUUAAAAAAUUAAUUUAUUAUUAAAUGAUUAAUCAUUAAAAUUAAAAACUAUGGCUGUAUUUAAUUUAUAUUAAAGAAACUUAUCAAAUAAUUGACAUUACACAAUAAAAAAAACUUAAUUUAAAAUUUAGUGUAUUGUCGUUUUAAAUUAUUUUAUAAUUUUAAAUAAUAAAAUAAAAUUUUAUUUUUAAAAAUUCAGAUCAUAAUACUAUUAUAAUUAAGAAAAAACGAGUUACAAUAAUUUUAUUAAAAAUUUAUAAUUUAAUUUAUAAAAAUUUAGAAUCUAAAAGUAAAAUUAAUUUAAUUAAUUAAUUUGAUUUUUAAAUUAAAUAAGUACAAAUAGCCCGUCAUUUUCAUUUUAAAAUGAAACAAGUCGUAACAUAGUAAAAGUACUAGAAAGUGCUUUUAGAAUA
rnacentral:rRNA from 1 species